GUUCUCUCCGUCCGUGACUCGGGUGAGGCUCACAUGCAGCUUCCCGGUGGCGAACUUGUAGGAGUCCUCCGGUAGCACAUCGUACAAAAACUGUCGCAUCAUCUGUACCAUCUUGCAGGACGGAGACAGAGGUCCCAGGAAGAACUUCUUCACCUCCGCCAGGCCCAUAUUCAGCACUCUGAGGUAUUUCUCUGUGGAGGGAGCAGAGUGGCGGAUGCACCCUCAGCAACUGCUCAGGAACAUGGGGAGGCGCCCCCGGGGCUCAGUGAUGUCAACCAUUUCACCCAGCCGUUCACAGCGAGGAGGAGGCCUCAGACCCAGAAGCUGGGGGGGCCUCAGGAACAGAACAGAGCCAGGCCAUAAAGGAGAAUGUCCUAGAUGCCCUACAGCUAGGAGACACUGGCACCAGCAUGGGACCCAGGUGUCCUGCUUCUUGACCAUGCGUGGCCACCCAUCAGGAAUUGUCAGCGACUAGAAAGAUAUUUUCUUCCUGCAAAACAGCUCUGGCAGCUUCUUGUCCCUGCACCUGAGGUCUGCCACCAAGCUGUCAUUAUGAGGGUCCUACACAAACACAGAUGUGGUUGGAAAUCUUUUACCAAGUGACAAGGGCACUUGCUUAGAGGCCACAUACCCUUGGCAGACUGCACCCUCUCUACGUAGGCAAGGAUGACCUGGAACUCCGAUUCUACAGUCUCUUCCUCAAUAGAGCCAGGGUUCCAGGCAUGACCUAUGCUUGGUUUAUGCGGUGCCAAGGAGCGAGCACAGGGCUGCAUGCAUGCUGGGAAGAACUCUGUCCACUUAGCUUAACUAUGAUCUCAAAACCGGAUUUUUUUUUUAAAGAUUUACCUAUUUAUUUAUUUAUUAUAUGUAAGUACACUGUGGCUGUCUUCAGACACUCCAGAAGAGGGCGUCAUAUCUCGUUACGGAUGGUUGUGAGCCACCAUGUGGUUGCUGGGAUUUGAACUCCAGACCUUCGGAAGAGCAGUCGGGUGCUCUUACCCACUGAGCCAUCUCACCAGCCCUCAAAACCUGAUUUUUACAUUUUAUUUUUAUUCCUGUGUAUGUACGUACACAUGUGUGUGUGUGUGCCCACAGAUGCUAGACAGGGUUGUAGGAUCCCCUGGACCUGGAGCUAUAUGACAUGGCCAGUGGGAGCUGAACUUAAGCCCUCUACAAGAGCAACAGAUGCCCUUAAUGACGAAGUCACCUCUCCAGUCCCACAAAUACUGUUUUCUCUUGGUGCCAGCGAUUGAACUAGGGGCUCUGCACAUAUUUGCAUACGUUUGAUGCUUGACCACUGAGCUACACAGCCAGCCCUUAAAGAACUAUCUCAUUUGGAAAAAUUUGUUUAAAGUUAGCGUCAUGCAUAUGUACCAGGGGCUUGUGUAGCCAUGAGCUCUCUGCUGUGGGAGGCAGCAGAGCGGAGGUUGCAUAAGCACCCCUGUCAGAGAGCUUAUCCAGCAGCUCUGUGGGCGGGUGGGAAGGGCGGAGUCUUUCCAGCUUGGAGAGUCUGGCAUUCAUUCUAGUGCCUGGCGGCAGACACACAGAGAAGGCAACUGAUUUGCCCAGAGUCACACACAGCAAUUUAGAGACAAAAGGACAGCUUAUUCCUAUUGCAUUUUAUAGUUCGUGGAUUAUACGUUACUGGUCUAAUCCUAGAGACUGCUAAUGCUAGAGUGGCGUUGGACAGGUAGAGAAACUGAGGCAGGGAAAAGCGCCUUGCCUGAGGUCACACAGUCAGGCAAUGUUGGUUUGCUGUUGUCUCGUUUUUUUUUCUGAUGCCAAGCCACCCCUCACCCACACCCAGAUCACAGUUGCCUUACACGAUAGGGACCCCAGGCUUUGCUCCGAACAUGGACUGCUCCUUCUCCUUCCUGGGAGUAGCAAGCCCGGCAGUGUCAGCCUUGCCAUGUACAGACAUGUGUACUCAGCACCUUCCCUCUAGGGAGGGAGGUGACCAGCUGGCAGGUUAGAAAACAACCUGGCAAGUGGCCACCAAGGUCACCCAGAAGACAGAUUACCACGGAGGUAUGCGCUUCUGGGAACUGGUUUCCUGUAACGGAGGCUGACCUCAGACUCACUAUGUAGCCAAGAACAACCUUGAACUCUUAAUCUCCCUUCUGCCAGUUUCCCAAGUGCUGGAAUUAAAGGCGUGUACCACCACUGCCCAGCAAGCCUUAGAAUU
rnacentral:lncRNA from 1 species